AGCAAGGUGUACAGUCAUACACACGGGCAAGUAGUCUCUUCUUUGUUGCAACAAAACCAGUUCAGUUUUACAGAGCAGUUGAAAAUGGGACUGUGCAACUGUUUUUCAUUUCUUCUUCUUAUUGUGGCUUCUGUUGUUGUGACCGCAGAAUACCUAACAUCACCAAGAGUAGGAAUUGCUAGGGGAAAGAAAACGGCGGACAAUGAUAUCUUCCUUGCCGUCGCCAUGGCUGACCAAAGCGC